ensembl:snRNA U1 U1 spliceosomal RNA
AUACUUACCUGGCAGGGGCGCUAAUGGCGAUCACCAAGGUGGUUUUCCCAGGUCAGUCCUUUACACUCCACAUGUGCUGAGUCCUGCGAUUCCCCAGACGUGGAAAGUUCGCCUGCAUAAUUUGUGGUAGUAAGUAGUGUUCAUGUUUU